rnacentral:rRNA from 1 species
AGUGAACGCUGGCGGUAGGCCUAACACAUGCAAGUCGAACGGCAGCACAGAGGAGCUUGCUCCUUGGGUGGCGAGUGGCGGACGGGUGAGGAAUACAUCGGAAUCUACUCUGUCGUGGGGGAUAACGUAGGGAAACUUACGCUAAUACCGCAUACGACCUACGGGUGAAAGCAGGGGAUCUUCGGACCUUGCGCGAUUGAAUGAGCCGAUGUCGGAUUAGCUGGUUGGCGGGGUAAAGGCCCACCAAGGCGACGAUCCGUAGCUGGUCUGAGAGGAUGAUCAGCCACACUGGAACUGAGACACGGUCCAGACUCCUACGGGAGGCAGCAGUGGGGAAUAUUGGACAAUGGGCGCAAGCCUGAUCCAGCCAUACCGCGUGGGUGAAGAAGGCCUUCGGGUUGUAAAGCCCUUUUGUUGGGAAAGAAAUCCAUCUGGUUAAUACCCGGGUGGGAUGACGGUACCCAAAGAAUAAGCACCGGCUAACUUCGUGCCAGCCGCCGCGGUAACAC